rnacentral:lncRNA from 1 species
GACCACGAACCCACCGGGAGGAGCAACAACUCCAGAUGCGCCGCGUUAAGAGCUGUAACACUCCCCGCGAAGGUCCCCAGCUUCACUCCUGAGCCAGCGAGACCACGAACCCACCAGAAGGAAGAAACUCCGAACACAUCCAAACAUCAGAAGGAACAAACUCUGGACACGCCGCCUUUAAGAACUGUAACACUCACUGCGAGGGUCCGCGGCUUCAUUCUUGAGAGAUUUACUCCCCAGGUACUUUUCUUCAGACAGUACAUCUGACACAGAUCAUCUCUGUGAGGGCCAAAUUUUCAUGGCAUGCUGCUUUAUGAGUAGUGUCCUUUCAUGUUGAUUUAAGGUAUUCCUCAAUCCAGUCAUGUUGACACCUAAAAUUAACCAAAACAGUUCUCUGGCCUUCUCUAUCUUUUGGUCGCCUGGGAAAGCUAACUUUAUGAACUCUCUUACAUAAACUUCCUUGGCCUUUGGCUUCUGAUUAGGUUCAGCUAAUGACAAAGACCAGUAAAAGAUCAAAAGCCUCUCAGCAGCAGAUUGCUUUCACCUCUGAAGGGACGCAGCAUACAUUUACGUCUGAGGUACCUGAACAACCUUGCUCAACUGCACACAGUCUUUUCAGGAGUGAUAUAUCUUGAAAAUUCACUUCAUUUGAGAGUCAUUUGUUUCUUGAUAACUGUUUUCCAGUUGCUACAUACUUCAUUAAAUUGAUGCAAAGGAAAAUCUGUUCAUUGCGCUCAAAAUUUUAGAGAAAGACAUGAGAAAUGAUGAAGAAGUGGAUGAUUGACAGAGAGUUCAGCUGAGUUUCAGUUUGGUGAGAGGAUGUCUAAUAUAGAGGGCACUCCAGGAGUGGGCCUAGCAGCCUUAGCUGGAUGAGGGGGUCCCAUGGAAGAGGAUUGCCUAACACAUGAUUCUGAACUUCAUCCUUACAGACCCGCGAAUGUGUUUCUCAACGACCUGGGGACCAUAUCCGAAAUGUCAUCAUCAAUGGAGAUGGCACCUACCUACCUCUCAGUUUCUGUGGGAGGGUAGCAGCCUAACUUUGGAAGGUCUUCGUGGACAAUAUGUCCAUGCAGCUGUGUCAUCUCCUAUAAUAACACCACCUCCUGCUGGAAUACCUCCUGAAGAACCUGCUUGAGGCUGUUUAAAAUGGUUAACUUUUUUUAUUUUUAAUAUAUAUGUAGAAGCAGACUCUAAAAUAAUGACAAAAGUAUGGUGUAGUAAAUGCAUAAACCAGAAACAUGGUCAUUUAUUAUCAGUAUUAAGUAUUAUGUACUGUAUAAAAUUGUACUGCUAUACUUUUAUACUACUACUAACACAGUAGGUUUGUUUACACCAGCAUCACCACAAACACAUAAGUAAUGCAUUGGGCUAGGACAUUAAGAUAGCUUGUCACCUAUUCUAUCAAUAUGUGAUAAAAAUUUUUCAGUUCCAUUUUAAUCUUAUGGAACCACUGCUGUCUAUGCGGCCUGUCGUUGACCCAAAUGUCAUUAUGUAGUGCAUAACUGUACUAAUACUAAGAAAAACUGAGUGUUUGUAUUUUAGAGUUAAGCACUGAUACGUUUACAAAUAAAAUAAUAUCUGACGUUUGUUUCAAAGGAAUCUGGAUAAGAGGAUAUGGUAAGAACAUAUAUGAAGUAAGAUUGACCAUGGGUUAAUAAUGUUUGAAGCUAAGUGGUAAAUAAUCUUUGUCCCAACCUUUGUGCAUAGUGGUUCUCAAAGAUGAUCCCUGCACUGGCAGCAACAGGAUCAUUUGAGAUCUUGUUUGAAAAGCAAACUCUGAGGAAACCACAUAUUUUGUAACCAAAACUCUGCACAUGAGGCCCAUUAGCCUGUGGUUUCACAAGCCCUUUAGGUAAUUUUGAUCCAAGCUAAUGUUUCUGAAUCACUGCUCCAGUAUAAAUAACAUAGAAUAUUGCAUGUAUUUGUAGAGACAUGACAUUUGUAUAUUUUUAAGUUAUCCAUAAUACAACGAAAAAUAAUGAAAACACCCAGGACAAAUGUUUCACUGGAAAAAUUUGAAUAAAGUUUGCAGACAUAAUUCUAAUCUUAAACACUUCCAAAAGACAGAAAAGGAUCUAUUCCCCAACCCAGUCUGAGAGUAGAAAAUCUUAGCCCUGGAAGUGAACAAAGAGUAUGAAAGAACUAUUAAAGCCAGUCUCACUUAUGAACAAAAGAUCCAGUAAUCUUAAGAAGUUAAGUAAAUCUAGCAUUAUGUAAAAAUAAUAAAAAUACAUCAGAACGAAGUUGUAUUUAUCCUAGAAAAUGAAAGUUGAUUUAACAUUAGAAACACUUUAAAAAGCAGGGAGGAUUAAAGGAGUUUGUUUAUUCUUAAUAUAUUCUGUUUGUUUAUUUCAGUGUUUUUAUAUGAGUAUCCUUAAAUUUUUAAACUGUGUUAAGAUGCAUGCUUAUACUUGUUUUACUUUUCUGACUGGAAGAUAAACCUAAAUAAAGGUUGUGAAAAAGA